rnacentral:misc_RNA from 1 species
AGCAGCCGCGGUAAUUCCAGCUCCAAUAGCGUAUAUUAAAGUUGUUGCAGUUAAAAAGCUCGUAGUUGAAUUUCGGGAUUGGCGCAUCGGUCGUGCCUCACGGGGUAUGAACUGGUGCAGUCAAUUUCUCACCUUCUGGAGAACCGCGAUGUCCUUAAUUGGAUGCCGCAGGGAACCAGGACCUUUACUUUGAAAAAUUAGAGUGUUUAAAGCAGGCAUUUUGCUUGAAUACAUUAGCAUGGAAUAAUAAAUAGGACGGCAUGAUUCUAUUUUGUUGGUUUCUAGGAUCACCGUAAUGAUUAAUAGGGAUAGUUGGGGGCAUUAGUAUUCAAUUGUCAGAGGUGAAAUUCUUGGAUUUAUUGAAGACUAACUACUGCGAAAGCAUUUGCCAAGGAUGUUUUCAUUAAUCAAGAACGAAAGUUAGGGGAUCGAAGACGAUCAGAUACCGUCGUAGUCUUAACCAUAAACUAUGCGACUAGGAUCGGAUGAUGUUAAUUUUAAUGUACUCAUUC